GGUGCCUCCACAGCCUCUGUCCUGUGACUGAGCAGGGGGGCUGUGAAACUACAGGCCACUGGUCGCUAAUUAAAUGUUACUUGGGGACAGAAGAGAGACUUCUGAGCUCCAGAGACCGUGGAGAGUUCCAGAGUGGGAGUGUGGUCAGGGUCUCCUCCACCCCAGGCCCACCUGCCUGCCUGUCCUGGGUCCACUGUGGGCCCCAGGUGCCCUGGUUCCACAGGGCCUGUUCCGGGGGCACAGGCAGGAGACAGGAGGGCAAGGGAGGGGGGCAAAGAGCCCUUUCACGGGUCCCUCCGGGUGGAGGUAACUGCCCUGCCCUGUCUCACUGUGGAGGGGCAGUGUUGGCGACCCGGGACAGCCCCCUCUUCUCUAUCCUGGGAGUUAGCGUGGCUCUGGUGCCCACUGCCUGGCCUGGGAUGCUGCCAAGCUGGGGGCUGGGCAUGGUCUGGGCACUGGAGGGGCUGGCAAGGGGAGGGGAGGCACUGAGCCCGUGGGGCUGCCCGCAGCCUUGGGGUGAAACGCUGUCUCCAGGGGGUUUGUCCCACAUGCCCCUUAUGGGGACUCACGAGGUGCAAUUGCCCCGUUUUCCACGGAGGGGCAGGCUCUGGAGGGUCGGUGAUUCAUGGAGGCCGCACCUUGUCAUCCGCUGGCCCCCACCUGGCAUGUCCUCCUGCACACGGCAGGGCCUUUGUGAGCUUGUGGGACUCAGAGUGGACUGGGGAUCCCUGGCCCAUGCAGAGGCCACUGGGCAAGGGGACAGGCCCUGGCCUCAGCCGGGAGACCAGGCUCCUGGUCCCAGAGUCUGUGCUCUGAGGCCAGGGUGUCAGCAGGCACAGGGCUGGGGGCAGGCCACCCUGCUCUCUGGAGCCCAGGGUCAGAGUCCGGCCUCCCGACAGCCUCCCUGGAGCUGCGGCCGGUGCCCGGGUGUCGGGGCAGCGGGCCCUCCCUCCGGGUCUCUUCCAGGAGCUCAGGCUUGGCGUCUGGCUGUAAUAGCACCGAACUGCGAGCCAGUCAGAGAAAGAGGACAGGACGUGAGGAAGCGAGCACACGCUCCUCCCAGUGCUCCCUGGGUCAAAGGGGGCACUCCAGAGGACGCUGCCAACGAGACGUAGAAGCGAAGAGACAAAGCAGCGUGAAAAUAUGUGGUGAUGUGGAGGCCCUGGUUCCGCAUGCCCACAGCUACAUACAGCCCCUCGCGCUCAUCCUCCCUGAUUGGGAGGCCCGAGACGCACAGACGGCUCCAGAGAGCAGACAGAGGCUGGGAUGCUGCCAGCGGAGCUCCAGGAAGGAUGACACAUCCAUGUCCGGGAGUCCCAGGCUUUGCAGCAGAGGGGGAUGGAAGACGCAGAUGGAUUGAAGAGUUGAUGCUUUCCAGGUGUCGUGCUGGAGAAGACUCUUGAGAGUCUCUUGGACUGCUAGGAGAUCCAACCAGUCAAUCCUAGAGGAAAUCAACCCUGAAUAGUCACUGGAAGGACUGAUGC